GCCAAGAAAGAGGAAAGGUUGUUAGGGAACCAUUCUCGGAGAAAGUAACUGCGCAGUAGAAAAGUAACUGCUCUAGAGCCUAAGUUUGAAAAGGGACGGGCCUGAUCAGACGGCCUAACUGCAAACCACAAACCAACUGUCAUAACCAUUGUCGCCAUGACUACAGGACCCUGGGAGGUCGGCAGGUGGGUGGGGCUAGCUUCUAGAAACUGUAUAUAAGGGGGCCCUCAGACACUGUAAAGCAGAGGUUGCUCAGCCUCUCUCCCUGGUCCGUAGCAUCUAGUGCCCGCAGGAGUAGGCUUGAGUGAUCUCUCCUCCUAGUCGCCUAGAGUACCAAUAAAGUGUGUUUAGCUUGACCUUCCUCAGUUUCCUUGACUCUUCCUUUGUGGCAACCUGGCCAGUUCCUGGAGGGGGAGAUCCUGACAGCUGGUGCCUGAACAGGGACCUGAAGUUGGACGGUGAGGAGACGAGCCCUUGAGGAAUCAUCAAAAGGAUUACCAAACAGUAAAGACUGGAAAGGGCCACUACCAUCCUUUGGAAAGGAGAAGGAGCAGUAGUGAUCGAGACACCUGAAAAGGGGAUUAUUAGCUUGCCCCAAAGACAUGUUAGGAUGGUUCCAGCCCAGGACCUCAGGAUUUGGGAAUUUCCAAUUAGGCACUAAUGGAAUAUCCAUUGCAAUUAUCCUGUCAAAAGAACUCAUGUGUUUUUAAGAAAUGCAGAUACCACUGUCAGUUGUGCUUUUUACAGAAAGAAUUAGGGAUUUCAUAUUCCAGAGCUAGGACUAAAGAACUCCAGAAAUGGCGACAGCAGCAGCAAACGGAGAAAUGUACAUUAAAGGAAGAGAAGCAAAAGACCUCUAUGAACAGUAUGCACUUGAACAAUUAAGUGAGGAAGAAAACCCACCAUUUGUAAACCCUUUUGAGGGACUGCCCGAGGACCAACAAGAUGAAUUAGCAGCCCGACAACAAGCACAUCUACAACAGGUAAAAGAAGAAUUAAAGAGACUGGACUCAGAUAAAGACUAAAAGCUGUCGAACUCCAAAUGGUCGUCAGACAAGGCUUCCAGCCCAUUCCAUUGGACGACCUGAGCAGCCCUCUGGACCGAGCAGCACAAUCUUUCCAAGGCCACUGUUGUACACCAUAAGACAGACAGCAAGAGGAAAUACCCUAAUCCCCUUCGACGCCCAUAUGCCAGCUUUGAAGAAGUUACAGAAAACGGAAUUCCACCCAUAAUUCCAAAGAAGAAUUUUGGGUAUUGCCUCUUGAGGGGGGAAUGUUAGGUAGGAAGUCAGUUAUGAGCUUGUGUGUGUGUGUGACAUAAAGGCAAAAAGAGAAGACAUCUACGUCCAGCAUAUGCUGCUUCUCAAAGUCAUCCUGACAAUGUUUCAGGGGCAGUCCAGUAUUCACUUCCUGCCCUGCCCUGUCCCCUUCUACCUGAUAACCUGCCAGGUGGGGUGGGGGGUCCCCACCCCUUCUGCCUGACAAAUCUUCCACAAUCUCCCAGGUGCAGCCCAGUAUCUGCAUUUCAAAUACCCUGCUCCAGAUCCCAAUUCUCUAGGGGGUCCUGCCCACCCUUCCUCCUGUCUGAUAAUAUUUGCAUCCAUAAAGUCCUUUGUUUCAGCCAUAAAGUCCUUUGUUUCAGGAGGAAGUGUGUGAAGCAAGACCCAUCUCCCUAAAAACCCCCGGCCUCAACCGGACUGCACGCUCAGCCCUCUGCCUCUAUGCUGAGUCGCCCGCUUGGUCUGGCCAGGGGUAAUCUCCACCCAACCAUGUAACCUCGCUCCUUCCCUGCCCCCAGUCCGAGCGACUGGGCACCCUCUCAGGCUCUGUCUGGAGAGGUGCCCAUCCUUCUAAAAAAAAAAAAAAAGAAAAGAAAAAAAGAAAAGUAACUGCUCUAGAGCGUUAAGUUUGAAAAGGGAUGGCCUGAUUGGAUGGCUUAACCGAAAACCACAAACCAACUGUCACAACUGUCAUUGCCAUGACUAUGGGACCUUGGGAGGUCAGCGGGUGGGUGGGGCUAGCCUCUAGAAACUGUAUAUAAGGGGACCCUCAGACACUGUAAAGCAGAGGUUGCUCAGCCUCUCUCUCCCUGGUUCGUAGCGCCUUGUGCCUGCGGGGAGAAGCUCCUGGUCCGUAGCAUCUACUGCCCCCAGGAGUUGGCUUGAGCGAUCUCUCCUCCUAGUCGCCUAGAGUACCAAUAACGUGUGUUUAACUUGACCUUCCUCAGUCUCCUCUUCCUUUGUGGCAACCUGGCCAGUUCCCAGAGGGGGAGAUCCUGACAAAGGUUGAGAUGGAAUCUUCAUGGACAGACCUCUACAGUUGUGUAGAUGACGUUACAAGCCGCCCCAAAAUGUCUUUUAAUAUUACUUGUAAGCAAUAUGUAUAAUACAUUAUUAAACUUUUAGGAAAAAUAACAACAGAAGUGUACUAAUAACAAACUAUUGGUUAAAGAAAUCUAAUUUGUCUAAUAAAAUACAAUAAUAUAAUUUUUGUAAUCUUCCUGAUCUUAAAACUGUCUCCUUCACCUACUGUCCUCAGGUGACUACAGAUCUACUUUCUGUCACUAUAAUCUGUACCAUGCACAAUUGUGUAUAAAUGGAAUUAAACAGCAUGGGUUCUUUUUUGGUCUGGGUUAUUGCACUCAGCAUACUUACUUUGAGGCUGUUUUAAUUAUGUUGCCACAUGUAUCAAUGGGGCUAGAGAACCUUUUUCUGCCAAGGGCUAUUUGGAUAUAACAUCAUUCGUGGCCAUACAAAAUUAUCAACUUAAAAUUUGGCUUGCUGUAGAUUUACUGAACUUGGACUCUUGCCUGAGGUUGCCUUGGCAGGGCUGGACCAGAUGGUUUUGGGGACCACCUCUGUAUCCCUUUUUCAUGCUCAGUAGUAUUCCAUUGUUUGGAUAUAUUACAAUUGUUCUAUCCCCUCAACAGUUUUUGCACAUUUUAGUUGUUUCCAAUUUUAAUCAUUCCAAGGAGAGACGCUAGAAAAAUUUUUGUCCAGU